GUGCAGACUACGCAUGCGUCGCACGUAUCGGCCCGAACUGAGUGACAGCACGAAGAUUACGGCAACACGUGCCUGUGAAUGCCGACGACUAUAUAUACCCUGUGUGUUUCCGGAAUAAACGUUCUUUUCAUUCUUGGAUCCCGUCCAUACGAUACAUGGUGUCAGAAGUGGUGCCGCUGGUUGAACGUAACCAUUCAGAGCAAUGGAGCUAGUCAAGCCACCGGAGCAUCUGCAACUUUCCGGCUCAUCCGACAACAUCGCGAAGCAUUGGAACCUGUUCAUCCAGAAGUUCGAACUGUUCCUACAAGCGACAGCAUCUCCGAAAGAACCAAGGUCAGAAGCUGUCAAGGCUGCGCUGCUGCUGAGUGUUGCUGGCGACGAUGCACUUGAGGUGUUUAACAACUUCACCUUUCUUGAGGCGGAACGCAAGGAUGAUUACACGACGGUCGUGCGGAAGUUUAAAGAGUACUGUGAAGAACAGCAAAACGAAGUCUAUGAGAGGUACAUUUUCCGGUCAAGAACCCAGGACGAAGCGGAGCCCUUUGAGCAUUUCCUGCGCGACUUGCGAAAGCUGUCCCGAAGCUGCAACUUCGCUGAAUUAACGGAGUCAAUGAUCCGCGACCAGGUUGUAUUCGGUGUACAUAACCCCAAGUUGCGGGAGAAGCUCCUCAAGGUAAAAGACUUGACGCUAGCCAAGACAGAACAAAUCUGCAAGGCUGCUGAACUUUCUAGCCAGCAGAACGAGGCAUGGGCUCAGACGGAAAAACAGGUCGCGUCGGUAAAGAAGCGUCUGUUUAAAUGCAUGAAAUGCAACCGCUCGCACGAACGUAGUAGGUGUCCCGCGUUCGGCAAGACGUGUUUUGUAUGUGGUGGCACCAAUCAUUUUGCAGCGUGUUGCAAGAAAGGGUCUACAGUAAGCGAAGUGGUCAACGUGCAGGACACUUUCGACAUCCUUGAUGUAAAAACUUGCAAGGUGAGAAGCUUGACGGACUGGAUCGUAAACGCUAAAGUGGCCGGCCAGGAUGCCUUCUUGAAAGUAGACACAGGCUCCCAAGCUAACUUGCUGCCUUACUCGGUCUAUCGGAAGUGCAAAGGGAUGCAAAGUUUGAAGCCGAGCAGUUCCAUUCUGCGGUCCUAUAGCGGUGACGCUAUCAGUCACUUCGGUGUUGCGUCGUUACCAGUCACCAUAAAAAAUCGGGCUGGGAGUUUCGACUUCUUUAUAGUAAAAAAAGGCCACCAGGCAAUACUCGGACUAUCUGCAAGUGAGGCGCUUGGACUGGUCGCGAGGUCGGUGGAUGCAGUCAACGCUAGUGGAUGCAGUCAACGCUAGCGCUGCCGACGAAAUACUGCAGGAAUUUCCUCAACUCUUCCAAGGAACAGGCUGUGUCGCCCGCCAGUAUCGGAUGGUACUACGCACUGGUUCGAUACCUGUAGUCCAGCCAGCGCGGCGCGUACCCUUGACACUACAAGAACCACUGCGGGAGGAGCUGGACCGCAUGGAACGAGCCGCCAUCAUCACGAAAGUGACAGAACCAACGGACUGGGGAAGCAACUGCUGCUGGCCGACAUGCUCUCAAGGUCGACGCCCACCAACCACCCAGCGGACACGAGUGGCUCGACAGAAGAAAUAGAGGUUCACGCCGUUGGUGCAAUCUCGGACCUGGUAAGCAGAAAAACCCUUGACCGCUUAGUUGCCGCAACUGCAAGUGACCCGGAGUUACAAAAAGUGAUGCGCUAUAUCAGCGGCAGCGGCAAUCUUGAUGGCUGCAUGAAACCUUUUGCUACUGAGCUGUCACUAAUAGAGGGAGUGGUGCUAGAAGGAACCAAAGUAUUGGUUCCAAAGUCGAUGAGGAACGAAAUACUUCAACGUAUACACGAAGGGCACUUGGGCAUAAACAAAUGCAAAGCACGAGCCCGACGAUUGGUGUUUUGGCCCGGAAUUAAUGCAGAUAUUGAAACGAUGUUGAAAAGUUGCGCCGUCUGCCGAAAGUAUGCAUACAGGCAACCAAGCGAGCCUUUUAUGCUUAGACCAACGCCAGGCCACGCUUGGUACAGAGUCGGCGUUGAUAUCUUUCAGCAUGGGGGAAGCUCGUACUUGUGCGUGUUCGAUGCGCAGUCAAACUUCCCGGAAGUGGAAAAACUGGGCGACACCACGUCGAGCACGAUCAUUGCCAAAUUGAGCUGCAUUUUUGCGCGAUAUGGAAUCCCAGUCGAAGUAUGCAGUGACAACGGCCCCCAGUUCGCGUCUUACGAGUUUGCCACCUUUGCGUCCAGGUACGAUUUCAAGCACGUGACAUCUAGUCCUGGCUUUCCACAGUCCAAUGGACUAGCGGAGAAAGGCGUCCAGAUAGUAAAACGGAUCAUGAAAAAAACACAAGAAAAUCACGACGACUUCUGGCUGGGCCUGCUCAGCUACCGAUCUACACCACUGGAGCACGGUCGUUCCCCGGGUGAGCUGUUACAAGGCAGGAGACUACGAACCAGGCUUCCAGACUUCAGCUCGCAACCUAAAAAUUUUGUGUCUAAGCAUAGACAACUUGGCACACACAGAAAGGACCUACCAGUACUCCGAAAAGGGGAUGUGGUGAGGAUCCGAGAUAAAGCAUGGACCCGCAAAGCGCAGGUCAUGGGACCGGCUGCGCCUAGGUCCUAUCGCAUUGUUACUGAAGGUGACCAAGUACUUCGUCGGAAUCGGAGACACCUGAUUACAACGCGUGAGCCAUUUCGACACGAUGACCUCGACAGCGAUGAGCCGGAAAGCGAGGACGACCAGCCGGUAACAUUCCCAACUGGAGUGCCCGUAAACCCGACUCAACCUACAACACCGAUCCCAAGACGGUCUAGGCGGAUAACUCGUCAGCCAAGACGGCUGCAGUACGACCACAACUUCAAUCAAGUGCAUUGUGUAUCUCGGCUUUAUCCAACUAUUAAACAGAGAAAGAUGUAUCGUGCAGACUACGCAUGCGUCGCACGUAUCGGCCCGAACUGAGUGACAGCACGAAGAUUACGGCAACACGUGCCUGUGAAUGCCGACGACUAUAUAUACCCUGUGUGUUUCCGGAAUAAACGUUCUUUUCAUUCUUGGA